rnacentral:rRNA from 1 species
UGGGGAAUUUUGGACAAUGGGCGCAAGCCUGAUCCAGCAAUGCCGCGUGCAGGAUGAAGGCCUUCGGGUUGUAAACUGCUUUUGUACGGAACGAAAAGCCUCUCUCUAAUACAGGGGGUGAUGACGGUACCGUAAGAAUAAGCACCGGCUAACUACGUGCCAGCAGCCGCGGUAAUACGUAGGGUGCAAGCGUUAAUCGGAAUUACUGGGCGUAAAGCGUGCGCAGGCGGUUUUGUAAGACAGUGGUGAAAUCCCCGGGCUCAACCUGGGAACUGCCAUUGUGACUGCAAGGCUGGAGUGCGGCAGAGGGGGAUGGAAUUCCGCGUGUAGCAGUGAAAUGCGUAGAUAUGCGGAGGAACACCGAUGGCGAAGGCAAUCCCCUGGGCCUGCACUGACGCUCAUGCACGAAAGCGUGGGGAGCAAACAGGAUUAGAUACCCUGGUAGUCCACGCCCUAAACGAUGUCAACUGGUUGUUGGGGAUUUAUUUCUUCAGUAACGAAGCUAACGCGUGAAGUUGACCGCCUGGGGGAGUACGGCCGCAAGGUU